rfam:Myotis lucifugus cont2.3417, whole genome shotgun sequence.
GCCAGUGUGGCUCAGUGGAUGAAGCGUCUGUCUGCAGACUGAAGGGUACCGGGUUCGAGUCCAGUCAAUGGCA